rnacentral:rRNA from 1 species
UACGUAGGGUGCGAGCGUUAAUCGGAAUUACUGGGCGUAAAGCGUGCGCAGGCGGUCUGUUAAGACCGAUGUGAAAUCCCCGGGCUUAACCUGGGAACUGCAUUGGUGACUGGCAGGCUUUGAGUGUGGCAGAGGGGGGUAGAAUUCCACGUGUAGGCAGUGAAAUGCGUAGAGAUGUGGAGGAAUACCGAUGGCGAAGGCAGCCCCUGGGCCAACACUGACGCUCAUGCACGAAAGCGUGGGGAGCAAACAGG